rnacentral:ncRNA from 2 species
AGAAGAAAAAGGCAAAUCUAUGGAAACAUAGAGACGCAAAGCCAUGUCCUAAGGUAAAAGUUUCUUUUUUUACUAUGGUCGGCAGGUUACCGAA